AGCUAAAUCACACAUCCGUAUUUAUACCGAAAGAACCUCUGGCUUUCCACGGCCAUCGCUCCAGAGGAUAUUCGCAGAGAUGAAUGGACACAGCCAGAAAUGGUAAGAAAGAGAGAAGAGGGGAGUUGGAGAAAUGAGAAAAGUGAGAUAGCAAAAGUAUGGGUUGUACGGCUGGACCUGGAUGCUGGCACGAAAUCCCUGCUAUCUUAGUGAACUAUACAAAUUGUACUUCCUGCAGAGUCUCAUUUAUCUUGCAUAAUGGCUAACUUUUCCUAGAAUUGGAUUGUAAGGCGGGAUAGGUAAUCCAUUUGUAAUCUCUAAUGAGGUACAACAGGUGUAUUAUUGGUGGAUUAUAAAAAUACCUGGGGCGCAUUCUAGUAUUACGAUUUUGUCGCUGCGUGGCGCAACCGACUGGCCGUCCUUUUCGUUGGACAUGACUGUGCCGGCUGCCACGCUAGCUUGGGAUGCCUCGCCAGCAAAACACCAAUAUUGGCUCGAGGCUUCGUUUACACGAGGAUCAGAGCUAUUUUUGAUGAAUUUAUAAAGAAAAUUGAGGU